UACGUAGGGUGCGAGCGUUGUCCGGAAUUAUUGGGCGUAAAGAGCUCGUAGGCGGUUUGUUGCGUCGGCCGUGAAAACUUGGGGCUUAACUCCAAGCUUGCGGUCGAUACGGGCAGACUUGAGUUCGGCAGGGGAGACUGGAAUUCCUGGUGUAGCGGUGAAAUGCGCAGAUAUCAGGAGGAACACCGGUGGCGAAGGCGGGUCUCUGGGCCGAUACUGACGCUGAGGAGCGAAAGCGUGGGGAGCGAACAGG
rnacentral:rRNA from 1 species